rnacentral:rRNA from 1 species
UACGGAGGGGGCUAGCGUUGUUCGGAAUUACUGGGCGUAAAGGGCGCGUAGGCGGUGCGAUAAGUCAGGCGUGAAAGGCCCGGGCUCAACCCGGGGACUGCGCUUGAUACUGUUGCGCUGUGAGUCCGGGAGAGGAUGGCGGAAUUCCCAGUGUAGAGGUGAAAUUCGUAGAUAUUGGGAAGAACACCGGUGGCGAAGGCGGCCAUCUGGACCGGCACUGACGCUGAGGCGGCGAAAAGCGUGGGGAGCAAACAGG